rnacentral:rRNA from 1 species
GUGCCAGCAGCCGCGGUAAUACGAAGGGGGCUAGCGUUGUUCGGAAUCACUGGGCGUAAAGCGCACGCAGGCGGAUCGUUAAGUCAGGGGUGAAAUCCCGAGGCUCAACCUCGGAACUGCCUUUGAUACUGGCGAUCUUUGAGUCCGGGAGAGGUGAGUGGAACUCCGAGUGUAGAGGUGAAAUUCGUAGAUAUUCGGAAGAACACCAGUGGCGAAGGCGGCUCACUGGCCCGGUACUGACGCUCAUGUGCGAAAGCGUGGGGAGCAAACAGGAUUAGAUACCCUAGUAGUCC